GACGAACGCUGGCGGUGCGCUUAACACAUGCAAGUCGAACGGUAAGGCCCUUUCGGGGGUACACGAGUGGCGAACGGGUGAGUAACACGUGAGUAACCUGCCCUCAUCUCUGGGAUAACAGUCGGAAACGGUUGCUAAUACUGGAUAUGAGCUUGCAAGGCAUCUUGUGGGUUGGAAAGAUUUUUUUGGUUGGGGAUGGACUCGCGGCCUAUCAGCUUGUUGGUGAGGUAGUGGCUCACCAAGGCUUCGACGGGUAGCCGGCCUGAGAGGGCGACCGGCCACAUUGGGACUGAGAUACGGCCCAAACUCCUACGGGAGGCAGCAGUGGGGAAUAUUGCACAAUGGACGGAAGUCUGAUGCAGCAACGCCGCGUGCGGGAUGACGGCCUUCGGGUUGUAAACCGCUUUCAAUUGUGACGAAGCUUUUUGUGACGGUAGCAGUAGAAGAAGCACCGGCUAACUACGUG
rnacentral:rRNA from 1 species